GAUGAACGCUGGCGGCGUGCCUAAUACAUGCAAGUCGAGCGAACAGACGGGGAGCUUGCUUCUCUGACGUUAGCGGCGGACGGGUGAGUAACACGUGGAUAACCUACCUAUAAGACUGGGAUAACUUCGGGAAACCGGAGCUAAUACCGGAUAAUAUAUUGAACCGCAUGGUUCAAUAGUGAAAGACGGUUUUGCUGUCACUUAUAGAUGGAUCCGCGCCGCAUUAGCUAGUUGGUAAGGUAACGGCUUACCAAGGCAACGAUGCGUAGCCGACCUGAGAGGGUGAUCGGCCACACUGGAACUGAGACACGGUCCAGACUCCUACGGGAGGCAGCAGUAGGGAAUCUUCCGCAAUGGGCGAAAGCCUGACGGAGCAACGCCGCGUGAGUGAUGAAGGUCUUCGGAUCGUAAAACUCUGUUAUUAGGGAAGAACAAAUGUGUAAGUAACUAUGCACGUCUUGACGGUACCUAAUCAGAAAGCCACGGCUAACUACGUG
rnacentral:rRNA from 1 species